UAGGGAAUCUUCCACAAUGGACGCAAGUCUGAUGGAGCAACGCCGCGUGAGUGAAGAAGGUUUUCGGCACGUAAAGCUCUGUUGUUGGUGAAGAAGGAUAGAGGUAGUAACUGGCCUUUAUUUGACGGUAAUCAACCAGAAAGUCACGGCUAACUACGUGCCAGCAGCCGCGGUAAUACGUAGGUGGCAAGCGUUGUCCGGAUUUAUUGGGCGUAAAGCGAGCGCAGGCGG
rnacentral:rRNA from 1 species